CCGGCUAACUACGUGCCAGCAGCCGCGGUAAUACGUAGGGCGCAAGCGUUAUCCGGAAUUAUUGGGCGUAAAGAGCUCGUAGGCGGUUUGUCGCGUCUGCUGUGAAACCCCGAGGCUCAACCUCGGGCCUGCAGUGGGUACGGGCAGACUAGAGUGCGGUAGAGGAGAUUGGAAUUCCUGGUGUAGCGGUGGAAUGCGCAGAUAUCAGGAGGAACACCGAUGGCGAAGGCAAUCCCCUGGGCCUGCACUGACGCUCAUGCACGAAAGCGUGGGGAGCAAACAGGAUUAGAUACCCUGGUAGUCCACGCCCUAAACGAUGUCAACUGGUUGUUGGGUUUUUAUUAACUCAGUAACGAAGCUAACGCGUGAAGUUGACCGCCUGGGGAGUACGGCCGCAAGGUUAAAACUCAAAUGAAUUGACGGGGGCCCGCACAAGCGGUGGAGCAUGUGGUUUAAUUCGAUGCAACGCGAAGAACCUUACCAAGGCUUGACAUGUUCUCGAUCGCCGUAGAGAUACGGUUUCCCCUUUGGGGCGGGUUCACAGGUGGUGCAUGGUUGUCGUCAGCUCGUGUCGUGAGAUGUUGGGUUAAGUCCCGCAACGAGCGCAACCCUCGUUCCAUGUUGCCAGCACGUAAUGGUGGGGACUCAUGGGAGACUGCCGGGGUCAACUCGGAGGAAGGUGAGGACGACGUCAAAUCAUCAUGCCCCUUAUGUCUUGGGCUUCACGCAUGCUACAAUGGCCGGUACAAUGGGUUGCGAUACUGUGAGGUGGAGCUAAUCCCAAAAAGCCGGUCUCAGUUCGGAUUGGGGUCUGCAACUCGACCCCAUGAAGUCGGAGUCGCUAGUAAUCGCAGAUCAGCAACGCUGCGGUGAAUACGUUCCCGGGUCUUGUACACACCGCCCGUCAAGUCAUGAAAGUCGGUAACACCUGAAGCCGGUGGCCCAACCCUUGUGGAGGGAGCCGUCGAAGGUGGGAUCGGUAAUUAGGACUAAGUCGAAACAAGGUAGCCGUACCGGAAGGUGCGGCUGGAUCACCUCCUU
rnacentral:rRNA from 1 species